rnacentral:rRNA from 1 species
UACGUAGGGUGCAAGCGUUAAUCGGAAUUACUGGGCGUAAAGCGUGCGCAGGCGGUUCUGUAAGAUAGAUGUGAAAUCCCCGGGCUCAACCUGGGAAUGGCAUAUAUGACUGCAGGACUUGAGUUUGUCAGAGGAGGGUGGAAUUCCACGUGUAGCAGUGAAAUGCGUAGAUAUGUGGAAGAACACCGAUGGCGAAGGCAGCCCUCUGGGACAUGACUGACGCUCAUGCACGAAAGCGUGGGGAGCAAACAGG